GGGGGGGGCAAGGGGGGUCCCAAUAACAGCAAAACAGAAAAUUGAUUUGGCUCAUAACAGAUAACAAGGAAUUAAAAUGGACAAAAACAGAUAACAGUAAAUGAAAUAUUAAAAUGAUUCGGUCUUUGAUAAAUCAGUAUUUCUUAUUACGGAUAUCCUUUGUAAUGCAUUCCAUCUUCUAUGACUAUGUUUUAAGUAUUAAUU
rnacentral:lncRNA from 1 species